AACGAACGCUGGCGGCAGGCCUAACACAUGCAAGUCGAGCGAGGACUUCGGUCCUAGCGGCGGACGGGUGAGUAACGCGUGGGAACGUGCCCUUUGCUACGGAAUAGCCCCGGGAAACUGGGAGUAAUACCGUAUGUGCCCUUCGGGGGAAAGAUUUAUCGGCAAAGGAUCGGCCCGCGUUGGAUUAGGUAGUUGGUGGGGUAAUGGCCUACCAAGCCGACGAUCCAUAGCUGGUUUGAGAGGAUGAUCAGCCACACUGGGACUGAGACACGGCCCAGACUCCUACGGGAGGCAGCAGUGGGGAAUCUUAGACAAUGGGGGAAACCCUGAUCUAGCCAUGCCGCGUGAGCGAUGAAGGCCUUAGGGUUGUAAAGCUCUUUCAGUGGGGAAGAUAAUGACGGUACCCACAGAAGAAGCCCCGGCUAACUCCGUGCCAGCCGCCGCCGUAA
rnacentral:rRNA from 1 species